rnacentral:misc_RNA from 1 species
GAUGAAGAACGUAGCGAAAUGCGAUAAGUAAUGUGAAUUGCAGAAUUCAGUGAAUCAUCGAAUCUUUGAACGCACAUUGCGCCCGCCAGUAUUCUGGCGGGCAUGCCUGUUCAAGCGUCAUUUCAACCAUCAAGCCCCAGGCUUGUGUUGGGGGCCUGCAGCUGCUGCAGCCCCCUAAAAGCAGUGGCGGACUCGCUGUCAUACCGAGCGCAGUAGUUACAUCUCGCUCUGGGCAUGGCGGCGGGCACCUGCCGUAAAACACUCUUUCUAAGGUUGACCUCGGAUCAGGUAGGAAUACCCGCUGAACUUAAGCAUAUCAAUAAGCGGAGGA